GUAGGAGCCUGACUAACGCCCUUUCAGCAAAGAAAGACAUGGGAGCUUCAUGCUGAGUCAAAGUCUUCCAGUACAGAAGACGAAUGUCAUACAGAACAUAAAAAGAAGACAAUGAGUAGACGACAAAUUGAGAGGAAAAAGAAACAUCACAAAGUUGACUCAUCAUCCUCAUCUGAAUCAAUCUCAACUCAGUCCUCUUCAUCCCCUGCACCCCGAAAAUCCAGCAAACAUAAGGAUAAAGCCAAGAAAAGGAAAGUGAACAAAAAGGAAAAAUGCACAAGAGUCUUUUUUCCAGAGCAAGCCAUGAACAGAUACAAGAAGGUCUAGGGCUAUUUGAAAGGCGUACUUCAAAUGCGGUGUGGAUAGAAAGACAAUUGUGGAUACUGCUGCAGUCUCAGAGCUCGAAGCAUGUGACAAUGAGGCAUACAAACAUCUGCCUGCCACAUUACAAAGAGGACAGAAACUCUCUGAUUUUGCAGAGCGGUGCAGAGAGUUAUGCAG